GUGGUCUUGCCGUAGCCCAGAGAGCAUGAACUGUCCAUCUGCCCACAAACUACACAUGUUGACUUCAGUCCUGCUACACAUCUUCCAGUGAAGCUUUACUAUGGAACAGAGCGGUCAAGCGAACAUGAUUCCAGACCACAUGUCAACCGGCAGGUCGCCUCUUACUGUAGAAAUGAACGAAGCUUGCAGACUUCUACCUCCUCCCACCGGAGACACUGGCGGUCACCACACCCCUCCGACUUUCAGCAUUCUUGGGCUGUGUCCAUGGCUGAGGUUGUUGGUCAAAGCAGCAGGCCCCCCCAGGACCUCAUUCUCACAGCCCAGGACCCCUCUCUCACAGCCCAGGACCCCUCUCUCACAGCCCAGGACCCCUCUCCCACAGCCCAGGACCUCAUUCUCACAGCCCAGGACCCCUCUCUCACAGCCCUGGACCCCUCUCUCACAGCCCAGGAACCCUCUCUCACAGCCCAGGACUCUUCUCUCACAGCCCAGGACCCUUCUCCCACAGCCCAGGACCCCUCUCUCACAGCCCUGAACCCCUCUCUUACAGCCCAGGAUCCCUCUCUCACAGCCAAGGACCCCUCUCUCACAGCCCAGGACCCCUCUUUCAC